rnacentral:rRNA from 1 species
GACGAACGCUGGCGGCGUGCCUAAUACAUGCAAGUAGAACGCUGAAGGAGGAGCUUGCUUCUCUGGAUGAGUUGCGAACGGGUGAGUAACGCGUAGGUAACCUGCCUGGUAGCGGGGGAUAACUAUUGGAAACGAUAGCUAAUACCGCAUAAUAGCAGUUAUUGCAUGAUAACUGUUUGAAAGGUGCAAUUGCACCACUACCAGAUGGACCUGCGUUGUAUUAGCUAGUUGGUGGGGUAACGGCUCACCAAGGCGACGAUACAUAGCCGACCUGAGAGGGUGAUCGGCCACACUGGGACUGAGACACGGCCCAGACUCCUACGGGAGGCAGCAGUAGGGAAUCUUCGGCAAUGGACGGAAGUCUGACCGAGCAACGCCGCGUGAGUGAAGAAGGUUUUCGGAUCGUAAAGCUCUGUUGUAAGAGAAGAACGAGUGUGAGAGUGGAAAGUUCACACUGUGACGGUAUCUUACCAGAAAGGGACGGCUAACUACGUGCCAGCAGCCGCGGUAAUACGUAGGUCCCGAGCGUUGUCCGGAUUUAUUGGGCGUAAAGCGAGCGCAGGCGGUUAGAUAAGUCUGAAGUUAAAGGCUGUGGCUUAACCAUAGUACGCUUUGGAAACUGUUUAACUUGAGUGCAAGAGGGGAGAGUGGAAUUCCAUGUGUAGCGGUGAAAUGCGUAGAUAUAUGGAGGAACACCGGUGGCGAAAGCGGCUCUCUGGCUUGUAACUGACGCUGAGGCUCGAAAGCGUGGGGAGCGAACAGG